AUCUCCAGAUGCUGUGACUAACGGUAGGUGGAGCAUGUUCAGUGCCUGUUAUGGCCUGUUGUUUAUACCAGAAUCUACGCCAUUUGAAAAACAGCCUCCGAACCAACCCUGUAUUCUAAUGAAUGGAUUAAGAAAUGACACAUUCUACAAAGCUGUUCCCAGAAAGGGCAGGAAAUGUUUUAACAGUCCUGGGCACCUAGCCAAGACUUCCAGCCUUGCUUCUGAGUUUGACACACAAAGUGGAAAGGAGAGGUUUUCAUUCAGCACAAGAAAGAAAGUGACCAUUUUUCAACAAAGGGCAUUUGGCCUUUUACUGUAUUUCUAGGAUCUGACUCUAAGCUUCAGGAAAAUCUAGGAGGAGGGUUCGUAAAAGGAGCUGAUAACCAACACAAUCUAUUCAGAAACAGCAGCUAAAAUCCACUCUGCAAGGGUCAGAAAAGAAGAUGAGGGCUCUCUUCUACAAAAUUGAGGAGCCUCACAACGAACUGCACAAGGAAGCCCACUAAUCUCUCUGCAGAUGGUCUUCAGAGACAGCCAUGCUAACGUCAAGGCUAAGGGCCAUUCCUCUGGACAACGUCUAACUAAUUUUGUGGAAGGUAAAGUAGCACCUCCACUUUAUUCAACCCAUGGACUAUUUUGUAAUUCUCAACCUGUCCCCUUCCAAUUCUUCUCUUUUGGGACUAAAAAUUCCAAAAGGCCAUCUUUCCUCAUAAUAAAAUUCUCCAGACCCGUCA